UGGGGAAUAUUGCACAAUGGGCGCAAGCCUGAUGCAGCCAUGCCGCGUGUAUGAAGAAGGCCUUCGGGUUGUAAAGUACUUUCAGUCGGGAGGAAGGUGGUAAGGUUAAUAACCUUAUCAAUUGACGUUACCGACAGAAGAAGCACCGGCUAACUCCGUGCCAGCAGCCGCGGUAAUACGGAGGGUGCAAGCGUUAAUCGGAAUUACUGGGCGUAAAGCGCACGCAGGCGGUUGAUUGAGUCAGAUGUGAAAUCCCCGGGCUUAACCCGGGAAGUGCAUCUGAUACUGGUCAGCUAGAGUCUUGUAGAGGGGGGUAGAAUUCCAGGUGUAGCGGUGAAAUGCGUAGAGAUGUGGAGGAAUACCGGUGGCGAAGGCGGCCCCCUGGACAAAGACUGACGCUCAGGUGCGAAAGCGUGGGGAGCAAACAGG
rnacentral:rRNA from 1 species